rnacentral:tRNA from 1 species
GGGCCUGUAGCUCAGCCAGGUAGAGGAUGAGUGUUUGCCUUAUCACCAGUAGGUCGUGGGUCCAAAUCCCACCAGGCCCG